UCAGUGAACACAUCCCUGUACCAGGAGGGUGACGUGCCCUUACUCCACAGGGACAGAGGCUCCUGCACCUGGGACCCCCCAGACCUUGCCCUAUGCAUCUCUUCAUGUGGCUAUUCCUCUGUAGCCUUUAUCAUAUCCCUUAAUAAACUGAGAAACAUAAGUGUUUCCCUGGGUUCCGAGAGCUGCUCUAGCAAAUAACUGAAUCCCAGGGGGAGGAGGUCAUGAAAACCUUUGAUUUGUAGCCAGAUCCGACAGAAGCUGUAGGUAACCUGGGAACCUUCUACUUGGAAUUAACCUCUCAAGAGGGGAGCAGUCCUGUGGGAUCGAGCCCUUAACCUGUGGGAUCUGAUGUUAUCGCCAAGUAGAUAGCGUCAGAAUUGAGUUCAACUGUAGGACACCCAGCUGGUGUCACAGAGAAUUUCUUGUGGGAACCCCCCCCCCCCCCCCCCGACCCAGCACACACACUAUUUGGUGAUCAGGGGCGUCAGAAGUGAAGUGUUCUGUGUAAGUAGUAAAGCAGACACACAGGAGGAGAACACUGUAGGUUUUCCCCUCCACAGUCCUGAGCAUCAUUAAUCAGGGAAAUGCAAAUCAACAUUACAAUGAGAUAUCACCUCACACCUGUUAGGAUGCCUAUUACAAAAAAAGUCUGAAGAUAAAAAGUUUUAGUGUGGGGCUGGCCCCGUGGCCGAGUGGUUAAGUUCGUGCCCUCCACUUCAGCGGCCCGGGUUUCGCCAGUUUGGAUCCUGGGCGCGGACAUGGAGCCACUCAUCAAGCCAUGCUGAGGCAGCGUUCCACAUGCCACAACGAGAAGGACCCACAACUAAAAUAUACAACUAUGUACUGGGGGGCUUUGGGGAGAAAAAGGAAAAAAAAAAUUCUAGCGAUCUAAGGUACAGCAUGGUGACUACAGUUAAUCAUUACAUAUUAUAUACAUCAAUUUGCUGCGAGAGUAGAACUUAAGUGUUCUCACCACAAAAAAAGAAAGAAUAACCACAUGAGGUGACGGAUGUGUGAAUCAGCUUGACUGUGGUAACCAUUUCACACUGUGUGUGCAUAUCAUCUCUUUGUACACUUUAAAUAUAUGCAAAUUCUGUUUAUCGAUUAUAAUGCGAUAAAGCUGGAAAAAAGAGAAAUUGUCAAAAGAACAGAAGUAUACUAUUUUACGGCUUUUAAGGCAAUUGUAAGAGCUGGAAGCAAUUUUUGAAAUGCAAUAUUCUGUUUCCAUGACAAUUAUCAAGAAGGGAAAAGAACCUCAGAGGGGAACUUCUCUGAUACAAAACAAUUUUGGAACUUGUAGUUUAAUUAAUUCAUCAUUUUUCCUACUGUUUUUUAAAAUUUCUUUUUAUUUUUCAAUCAUCUAGUGUUUUCUGUUUUUCAGGAGGGAAACAGAAGUAUAAGCCAGGGCCUCUUCGCACAGAGUUCACAAUUCGGGUAGAGAAGCAGACAGACACCACUUAGAGAGGCAAAUACUUCCAGGAGAUAAAUGUCCACAAACGGGUUCUGCAAAAUCAAGUUCUUAUACAAAUGUGUAACUAAAUGCUGACUUCACGGUGUCCCAGUGACAUCUGGAAGGGCUCUGAGCAAUUAAGCAAUUCCAUUACCGGAUAAAACUAGCAGUCCCUCUAGCCAAAGAUCCUUUCCAGGGGCAUCAAAAGAAGCUGUAGGGAGAGCAGAGGUAACUGUCACGUAACCUUUUAAAUCGAAAUGUGACCAAAGUCUGAGAACGCCAUGGGGGAUCUUGAAUCUCAGUGAUCAGUGAAGGCUCUCUCUCUAUCCAUCACGCCCACAGGCUUGACACACAUCCGCUCAGGAUGCUGCUCAGAGCAGGCGUGCAUGAGAAGUUAAUAAUUCUCCUUAUGUCUUGCUUCGUCUCCUUUGCCCUUUCCUCACAUAACUUCAGUCGCCCGUGUCCCAGGACACAGAUAACCAGCUGGAAUGUGUUAAACAGUGACAGCAAAGCAAAAUCAGAGUGAAAGGCAAAUGUUUAACCAAUCAUGUUCAAACACGACCUAGUGAAUGAAGAACCAGAGGUUCAGAGAGUCAAACAGUCUGCAUUCCCGAGAAAUCUCAACCAGUUUCUCAUUCUGGUAUUUCCACAUUGCGCUUUGCUUCCGCAAACUAAGCGGGUGUGCAUUCGGAGUGCUGGUCUAUUACUAAAAGAUCUGAAUUAGGAGGCUGAAAGAAAGCAUUUUGUAUCUAUGUGUUUUCUGAAACCGUCCAGGGGAGAGGAGCCAGACAUCAGUUACCCAUGGGGGAAAUGUUCCCACGGAGGUACCAUAAGGCUACCUGUCCACUUCAUUUCUCAUUCUCUAACAGAUUCUGUGGUGCCACCUCUUGUCCUGCUCAGUGGUAUUGCAACACCCUCGAGAUGGCAGCUUGUCUUCUUGCCAAGCAUCGUCAAUCAAAUUUGAGGUCCUUCCAUCUCUCUGUACUGCAGUGUCCAUUCUCCUGCUGCUCUGAUCUUGUCAGAUGGGUAUCUGAGCUAGGCUCCACCCGCUUCCGACGGACCCUACCCUCAACAUCACGGGACCCGCACGCCUUUCUCUCCCUGGAUGUGGGUGAGCCAAUCUGCUGGUGAGGAGGGGAUAAACUUCUUAAAGAACUUUUAAAAUAAUAUAACCGCCUGAUGUGUGGUUAGUUUGGGAUGUUUCAGUUAUGUUGGGGUCCCCUUCUUUAUGAAGGCCCAGUGCAGCUAAGAGGCUGUGGACACAGGCUCUGAACAGAACAGACUCAGCUGAGUCUGUGCGAGCAGAAUGUUUACCAGCUGCUGACUGGACGGAGUCAGUGCUUUCCAUACUGUUGGGGACUGGGUCUAGGGCUGUGUUUGGCGCGACCGCAGCCUCCAGGUUGCAGUGAUCCACUGUGAGGUGCCGUUCAUUCCUUCCAGAUUUAUGAACAGGCCAAAUCCGGC
rnacentral:lncRNA from 1 species